rnacentral:siRNA from 1 species
AUUAUCCUGGUGAAAAUGAUGCA